rnacentral:rRNA from 1 species
GUCAGCCGCCGCGGUAACACCGGCGGCCCGAGUGGUGAUCGUGAUUAUUGGGUCUAAAGGGUCCGUAGCCGGUUUGGUCAGUCCUCCGGGAAAUCUGAUAGCUCAACUAUUAGGCUUUCGGGGGAUACUGCCAGACUUGGAACCGGGAGAGGUAAGAGGUACUACAGGGGUAGGAGUGAAAUCUUGUAAUCCCUGUGGGACCACCUGUGGCGAAGGCGUCUUACCAGAACGGGUUCGACGGUGAGGGACGAAAGCUGGGGGCACGAACCGGAUUAGAUACCCGGGUAGUCCCAGCCGUAAACGAUGCUCGCUAGGUGUCAGGCAUGGCGCGACCGUGUCUGGUGCCGCAGGGAAGCCGUGAAGCGAGCCACCUGGGAAGUACGGCCGCAAGGCUGAAACUUAAAGGAAUUGGCGGGGGAGCACAACAACGGGUGGAACGCCUGCGGUUUAAUUGGACUCAACGCCGGACAACUCACCGGGGGCGACAGCAAUAUGUAGGCCAAGCUGAAGACUUUGCCUGAAUCGCUGAGGAGUGGUGCAUGG